CCAUUUCAAUGGUCAAUGUAAUCUUUAAAAUUUGGGUCUAAUGUCUAAAUCAAGUUUAAGGUAUUACACUUUCAAUAUCAAUCUUUUGAUGCUCAUCUUUAUAUAUAUAAUGGAAGGAUAUCAAGCCCAGAGUUUUCUAGUUUUUCAUAGUUGCAUUUAUCUUCUUUUCUUUUGUUAUGUUAGCUUUAAUUAAACAAAAUUGUUAAUUUUACUUCAAUUGUUCUUAUUUGACUAAAUUGUUAUUUAUCCUAGAGUUUAUUAAUAGAAAUAGUUAAUAUUAUUUGUGUAAUAACCCAAAUUUACCCGGCCCAAAUUAAAUAAUAAAUAAAAAAAUAAAUAAUAAUAAAAAUAAUAGUCCAAUUUUUAAUGUCCAUUUACAAGCAACGGGCUCAAUAGCCCAAAUCCACUACCCAAAAUAUAGUCCUAAGCCCGAUUAGCCUAAAUAGCUUUAACCCAAACCCAACUAACCUAAACCCAAAACCAAGCCCAAAUACUCGCAGCCCAAAACAAAAAAAAUCAACAGCAAACCCUAGAGACCAAAACCCUAAACUCAACCGCCGCUCCUACCUUCAGCACGCAUCGAGCCUCCGCGCCAUGUCACCGUACGGCUCCAUACACCAGCUGGCCACCGUACCUGCAAAGAAUACGAAAACAACACAGCAAAACAACAACAACAAUAGGCCAGCAGAUAUAAAAAACGGAAGAAAUAAUAGAAAAAAAGAGAGGAAAAAACCAUUUUUGUAAUAUUCGGCAAUAUAAAAGGCCGAUUGCUUCAUUCUUGUAAGGUUACGCACACAGACACGAAAUCAAUACAAAAGAUCAAAAGUUUCUUGAAGGUUUUUUUUCUGCUUUUUUCUUCUCUGUUCCAUCGAUGCAUGGUUAUUACUAUUGAUUUUUGUAAAUAGAGAGAAAAAGGGAAAUGAUUCACCUUAGCGUAGCGCCGAUUGAAACCUUGCUCGCUUCAUCGCAAUCGAAGCUCGGGCUAAAGCUGUGAGGCCAGAUAUUGGCGGAGCUUUCGGCGAUCUGCGAAAUAGGUUUCAAAACCCUAGCAGAGGAAAAUGGGGGGGUCUCUUCUGUUUUUUGGGAAAAUAGGGCUGAAGUGAGUUUUACUUUAUUUGUUUUGUUUAAAUAAACAUGCAAAACAACACCAUUUGGGGCCUUUCUCAGUGGCCUCAAAACGAUGUCGUAUUAGCCGAGAUCCGAUUAUCCGACCCGAUUCAGGGAAGAGGAUCCGCACCUUUUUGUUCGUGGUUUAUUUGCGCUUAGAGCCCUUUC
rnacentral:lncRNA from 1 species